rnacentral:rRNA from 1 species
CCCUUAGAUGUCCUGGGCUGCACGCGCGCUACACUGAUGUGUCCAGUAAGCACCUAACCUCUUCCGAAAGGAACGGGUAACCUUUGCAAAGCACAUCGUGAUGGGGAUAGAUUAUUGCAAUUAUUAGUCUUGAACGAGGAAUUCCUAGUAAGCGCAAGUCAGCAGCUUGCGUUGAUUACGUCCCUGCCCUUUGUACACACCGCCCGUCGCUACUACCGAUUGAAUGGUUUAGUGAGAAUUUUGGACUGGAACUCCCUUGCUCAGCAAUGGGCGAGGGGGAGUCCGGGAAGCUAUUCUAACUGUAUCAUUUAGAGGAAGUAAAAGUCGUAACA